rnacentral:rRNA from 1 species
UACCUACGGGGGGCAGCAGUGGGGAAUAUUGGGCAAUGGGCGCAAGCCUGACUCAGCAACGCCGCGUGAAGGAAGAAGGCUUUCGGGUUGUAAACUUCUUUUAUUGAGGACGAAACAAAUGACGGUACUCAAUGAAUAAGCCACGGCUAACUACGUGCCAGCAGCCGCGGUAAUACGUAGGUGGCAAGCGUUAUCCGGAAUUACUGGGUGUAAAGGGAGCGUAGGCGGGGAUGCAAGUUGGGUGUCAAAACUACCGGCUCAACCCAUAGUCG